UACAGAGGGUGCAAGCGUUAAUCGGAAUUACUGGGCGUAAAGCGUGCGUAGACGGUUAUGUAAGUCAGAUGUGAAAGCCCCGGGCUCAACCUGGGAAUUGCAUUUGAGACUGCAUAGCUAGGGUGCGGAAGAGGGAAGCGGAAUUUCCGGUGUAGCGGUGAAAUGCGUAGAGAUCGGGAGGAACAUCCGUGGCGAAGGCGGCCAUCUGGACCAGCACUGACGCUCAGGCACGAAAGCGUGGGGAGCAAACAGGG
rnacentral:rRNA from 1 species